UACGUAGGGGGCUAGCGUUGUCCGGAAUCAUUGGGCGUAAAGAGCGCGUAGGCGGCUAGGUAGGUCGGUUGUGAAAACUGGAGGCUCAACCUUCAGAGGUCGACCGAAACCAUCUGGCUAGAGUCCGGGAGAGGAGAGUGGAAUUCCUGGUGUAGCGGUGAAAUGCGCAGAUAUCAGGAAGAACACCCGUGGCGAAAGCGGCUCUCUGGAACGGUACUGACGCUGAGACGCGAAAGCGUGGGGAGCGAACAGG
rnacentral:rRNA from 1 species